UACAGAGGUGGCAAGCGUUGUUCGGAUUUAUUGGGCGUAAAGGGUCCGUAGGCGGUCCGUAAAGUCAGAUGUGAAAUCCCACAGCUCAACUGUGGAACUGCAUUUGAAACUCACGGACUAGAGUAUGAGAGGGGUUAAGGGAAUUCCCGGUGUAAGGGUGAAAUCUGCAGAGAUCGGGAGGAACACCAGUCGCGAAGGCGCUUAACUGGCUCAUUACUGACGCUCAGGGACGAAAGGCUAAGGGGAGACAAACCGGGUAGUU
rnacentral:rRNA from 1 species